rnacentral:lncRNA from 1 species
UACCUUGAGUUGGGAUGAGCUUAAUUGUAUGUGAUGAAAAGGUUCAAGUUUGGGGUUGCAUGGGGGAAAUUGAAAGGCAAUGGAAAAGCAUUGAUCUCAAAUGUGUGAAAGAAAAAUACAUGAGAAAAAGAAAAGAAAAGAAGAAAAAGCAUGAAGAUGAGCUCAAUGAAAAAGAAAAGGGAAAAAGUUGGGAAUAAGUGAGAUUGGUGAGGAAGAGAGUGGUACUUAAAUUUUGAAUAAUAUGGUAGCUCUCUUAAC